CAAACCGGAUUAGAUACCCGGGUAGUCCACGCCCUAAACGAUGGAUGCUAGGUAGGGGAAUUUAUUUCUCCCUGCCGUAGUUAACGCAUUAAGCAUCCCGCCUGGGGAGUACGGUCGCGAGGCUGAAACUCAAAGGAAUUGGCGGGGGCCCGCACAAGCGGUGGAGCACGUGGUUUAAUUCGAUGCUAAGCGAAAAACCUUACCAAGACUUGACAUGUUAACUCAAGUCUAUACGAAAGUAUUAGGUGGUUCCGAGCUUGCUCGGAACAGUUAUCACAGGUGCUGCAUGGCUGUCGUCAGCUCGUGCCGUGAGGUGUCCGGUUAAGUCCGGUAACGAGCGCAACCCCUAUCUUUAGUUGCCAUCACUUCGGGUGGGCACUCUGAAGAGACUGCCAGCGACAAGCCGGAGGAAGGUGGGGACGACGUCAAGUCAUCAUGGCCCUUACGUCUUGGGCUACACACGUGCUACAAUGGCUAGCACAAUGGGCUGCAAACUCGCGAGAGUGAGCCAAUCCCAUCAAAGCUAGUCUCAGUUCAGAUUGCAGGCUGCAACUCGCCUGCAUGAAGUUGGAAUCGCUAGUAAUCGUGGAUCAGCAUUGCCACGGUGAAUACGUUCCCGGGCCUUGCACACACCGCCCGUCACACCACGAAAGUCGGUUCUGCCCGAAGUAGCUGUGCUAACCUUCGGGAGGCAAGUUCCUAAGGUAGGGCU
rnacentral:rRNA from 1 species